AUUGYUGCAACCUUUGCAGAAAUGGCCGGCUCCCAAGACAAUCUCAUAUGUGCAUAUAACCAGAAGUUUGAGGCUUUGAUUUCUCCACAGGUUCUAGAAACAGGMAUCUAAUGAGAACUCCAGAGGCUCACAAUACUGCAUCAAGCGACCGAUUUUGUGGAGGUUUCAAGCGAUUCAAGCACGAUACAUUUCUGUGGAGGUUUCAAGCGACCGAUUUCUGUGAAGGUUUUCAAAGGCGGGAAAAAUGCGCGGAUUCACAUUCCUGAUGAGCUAGAUGAUGUGGUGGACGACGAGGAGGACGAGGCGUGGAAGGAAUGGGGACAGAAGAAGAAAUUGACGGAGGAGAAGUUUGAUCCGCCGCCUGUUGAAGUGUGAUUUUUAAUCUUAAGUGAUUGAACUUAGAUGACACUUUCUCUAAUAACUUGGCAAGGGGGAACGAAGUCCUC